GAGUUGCUUCGCUUUGAUAUCAUCUUCUUGACAUGGUAUCAGAGCCAUGGCUCUGGUGGAUUGUUAUUCAUCCUCUUGUUCUUCCGCUGACGUUUUGAGGUGUAUUAGGGUUUUUUGGUUUUCAAAUAUAAAAAACCUGGUUGCAUCAUUCUUUUAGACGACUGAGUUGUAAAGAUGACUCUCUUUUCGUUCAUGGCGUUUGCCAGAAGCCUGGACGUCUCACAAGGGGACGAGUCUCUGUGGGAUUACAUGGUUCUGGCGAUUUUGCCCUAAUUUCCGUCAAACCAUUGCGAUCAAUCGAAUCAAAUCACAAAAAAAGUCUCCAAUCGAUGACCUACAUAAAGCUGAUUCACAAGAUCAACUGCUGAAAUCCGAUAUUUGUUUCAUGUUUUCAACGAUUUCUGCUUCAUAUUUCCAGAUUCUACACUAUUCGAACCCAAAUCGAACAAUCGGAACAUAGAUCUGUGAAGUUGGAACCGAAUCUCUCACGGUUUUUCAAGAUUCAAGCGUCGGAAGAGGUUUUUGCAGCAAGCAGGAGAGUUAGGGCGUGCUAAUUUCUUCGGUUUUUGUUGUUAUUGAAAGUUAAAAGUUCGUGUAGCGUGUUAUUCAAAGAAUCUACGCAGAUCGAUCGAUAUUUUGAACGGAUGGUUGUCGUUUAGGGCUUGUUCGAGUUGAAACGCUUGUGAUCUGGAUAGCAGUUUAUAUUGGGGCUUGGGGCUCUCGUAUUUCUUAGUGAAUGAUACGGCUGACUGUAUGUGCUAUUGUCUUCUUUACACAGUAAAAUCAAAGUGAAGCCGACCGAUUUGCCAUUUAAGAUUUAUCACAUCUGGAAAGUCUCAUAUUCCUAAAGUGAAGUGUCUGGUCCAUUGAAUAUCACAACUGGAAGUUUUUUUACGCUUUACAAAGAUAGCAAAGUGUUUCUGCCGUCUUGGUUUGCAUCUUGUAAGAGUGCUGGUCACCCUAAAUGAAGGUGUAUCGGGUUAGCUUGACAUUAAAGCACUGGUUGGGGGGAGGGGUCAUUCAUGUUACAGGCACCUGAUAUGGGAUGACAGAUACAUUGAAGAUCAAAUUGUGUCAAGAUUAGGAUGGACACAAAGACAUAAUGAAACUGGUGUAAUAAAUGGAUGUCAAACACUGGUUCUAUAAAAGGAUGUCAAAACACUUGAUAAAGGAUAAGGAUGGUCCAGCUCCUCUAUUCACUACAAUGGUGCAGGCAAUACAACUACAUUAUCUCAUCAGAUGGUUUCAAAUACUUAGCUCACAUUUUUGGACCAUAUAGUGUCUCAUAUUCUCUUUGACUUAAUUCAUAUACUUAUGCUACUAAGACAAAUGGCGUAAUUUUUCAAAUGAAGUAAAGAUAUCCGAGUGUAUCAAAGCAGUCUUCAAGAAUCUAGAUAUUAGGUGCUACUUUUGUUUUUAAUGUUUAUUGGUUAUUUAAUUUUUAUUUAUUA